rnacentral:lncRNA from 1 species
UAAAAUCUCUGCAUAGAUCAUGUUACUUUUAUUGCAUUAAUUAAGACUCAGAAAGUUAUCCAGUUGAUUGAAUGUUUUCUUUAAUCCACCUACAGGAUUGCCAAGGAUCCAAGAUUUGAACGAUUACCAUGUACACACAAAGGAACCUAUGCAGAUGACUGCUUAGUACAGAGAGUAACUCAGCAUAAGUGUUACAUUGUGGCCACAGUUGACCGGGACCUUAAAAGAAGAAUCCGUAAGAUUCCUGGAGUUCCUAUCAUGUACAUUUCUAACCAUAGAUACAACAUUGAACGGAUGCCAGAUGAUUAUGGAGCCCCUCGAUUCUAAUUCUUACAAGACACAGUUCCUCUGCCUUUCUUCGACCAACUUUCUCUUGUUGCCAGUUCAUUACACGAAAUGUAGCGGGAUUUUUAAGGAAUCAGAGAGACUGAUGGAGUUCAGGGAGAUAUUUAUUAUUUAGGUGCACCAGCCCAGUCAGAUUAACAUCCAAAGGACUGAACCCUGAACAAAGAGUUAAGUUACCUUUUAAGCAUUUUGUGGGGCCGGGGGGGUUGGGGGGGAAUCUGUGCAGGGGGAAGCAUAUUACAGAAGCAAGAAAGACAGUUAUUCAAUUAACUGAGACAUGCAUUACAUCAUUUCUUACUUUUCAAGGAAAAUCAUGUUUUACGACUUGAGUUUAUCUGUCUAGUUACCUUGCAGCUGCACAGCUAGAGAAACAGGAUAUUUACAAUGCCUGGGAAAGGAGGAGAGAUAAGGCUCACUAGCCACAGAAAAACAGGCAGUUAAUUUUUAAAGGACUCAGCUCUUUCUCUUUCUCACGGGGAAUUGGAUUUUCUUACAUGCAACUGAAUUUCUGCUUACACAUUUUUAAAUUUCUUUUAAUUGCUUUUCCAAUGCAGUAGCAUGAAUUAUUAUUCUGUUGACCUAUUUGCCUUACUAUGAGCUGAGGGUAGUUCAAUAUGCUCG